GUACACUCCUACGGGAGGCAGCAGUGGGGAAUAUUGCACAAUGGGCGCAAGCCUGAUGCAGCCAUGCCGCGUGUAUGAAGAAGGCCUUCGGGUUGUAAAGUACUUUCAGCGGGGAGGAAGGCGAUAAGGUUAAUAACCUUGUCGAUUGACGUUACCCGCAGAAGAAGCACCGGCUAACUCCGUGCCAGCAGCCGCGGUAAUACGGAGGGUGCAAGCGUUAAUCGGAAUUACUGUGCGUAAAGCGCACGCAGGCGGUCUGUCAAGUCGGAUGUGAAAUCCCCGGGCUCAACCUGGGAACUGCAUUCGAAACUGGCAGGCUAGAGUCUUGUAGAGGGGGGUAGAAUUCCAGGUGUAGCGGUGAAAUGCGUAGAGAUCUGGAGGAAUACCGGUGGCGAAGGCGGCCCCCUGGACAAAGACUGACGCUCAGGUGCGAAAGCGUGGGGAGCAAACAGGAUUAGAUACCCUAGUAGUCCC
rnacentral:rRNA from 1 species